AAACUGCUGCACUCAUUUCGCACCUGCAGUAAUUAAUGCGCGUCACGUGCUGCUGCUGCACACGUCGCAUUUCUGAGGAAAGUUAGAUAACAAGCAGCGUUGUUAUGUUGCUUUAGCACAAUUUUAGCUGUUGUUUCGAGACUGGUCCUCAGCUACGGGACAUAAACGAGUUUCCCCUUGAAAAAAUAAAUUCUUGACACAGCUUCACUUCAGCGAGAAACACGAGAAAUCCAAUCAGCCAUCGACCUGUCAACACUGACUGAGACACACGAUCGUUACUUCAAAUGGAAAACAAACCCGACCUCAAAAGGACGAGGAAUGCCAGAAAUCCCUCUGAGUCCAACAUAUUGAGUCUAAUCCACAGAUCACUUCAGAUCAGCUGAUUCAUCGUGAUGAAGUCAGACUGUCUAGUUAAGGCAGGCUCUCGUCCUACAUGGCACAUAAAACUGAAACCAAGUCCCACAAAGUGGCCAAAAUUCAUCAGUUGCAUCACUGACAAUUAUCUCUGUUUCUCAGCAAAAUUUCUUCCACAGUAAUGAAACUUUAAAAGGGGAAACAGCUUCAUCUACCUUUAUCAAAACUCAAUUUAACGUUGAUGCUAAUUUUACAUUUUAGCUUUCAUUAAAAUUAAUGUCAAAUGUUCAAAUAAUAAAACACAAAAUAAAUAAUAAAAACAAGACUUAAAAAAAACAAACAUAAUCUCAAACCAGGUACAUGUGUUCAUAAUGUUUAAUUUUCAAAUAACUGAUGGCAAAAUGAGAAUAUUUACAAGAGAAAAUGUGUAUGAUCUGUACAAAGAAAUAUACAUGCAAAGAUAAAAAACAAACAAACAAACAGCAAACAUGUAAAUUAUGAAACAAAUAAAACUGGAAACACAUGACAAAAAAAAAAAAGACAAACAACAAAAAACAAAAACAAAACCUAAACUGAGGUAUCCAGUUCAAGUCUCCUUGUUUUUAACGGCCUUUGCAAACCUUUUAAAAUAAAUAAAAAGGUAACAGAGGACUGUUUUCUGUUCGUGGUAGAGUAAGUGUGAACAUGAUACAUCCUAACCCCAUAACGGAUUAAUUUGUAGUUUAUGGUGGUUAAACUCUUGUUCUAAUCAAAUAAAACAUCACUAGUUGGUUAGUUUCUGUUUUUUGGGGAAGUUGUUUCUAAUGAACAGGAAUUUAUGAAAGACAUAUUUUGGCAAUAAGUGUCUGUACAUAAAGUUAAACACCAUUUAACAAAUGAUGUAUGAAAACCCUCCAACUCAACUCCUCAUAUUAAACUGCAAUGCUCCAUUCUUUGUGAAUUACAAGAGGAAUUUAUCGCUUUAAUCUCCUGCCCUUUUAAUAAAGGGUAUAGGACAUAAAAUAACCCAACCGUAUUCUUUCAACGUAGUGUUUUUAACUAGUGUAAACAAUGAUUUCACAUGGCCAUAGUAUAUCUAACUCAAGUGAAACAUAAUCACAAUAAAACAUUUUUUUUUAAUUAAGUACUAUAAAGCUAGAUUAACUUUGGUGUACCAAUACUACGUAGGCUUACUGUACAAAAAGUGUUAAAUAAUAUUUGAUGAUUGUAGAUUGUGACCUGUAACGCUGGCCUGGAAGUCAGAACACUCAAAAAGAUCAAAUAAACACAAACUACCAGCAGUGCUUGCAGUACCAAGUACAUGCUUUUCUCUAGAUUUAUUACAGAUACAACAGAUGUCUUCAUAAAUAGUUGCAUAAAAUGUUAAAGCCGCAACAUUGCACAUGAUAAUCAAACAUAACAUACAAUGAGUGCAUUUACAGUAAAUUUGUCUUCCUCUGCCUCCACAUUCACUCCCACCUUACUGGCAAAAUCGCUGCUGCCACUGAGGCUCCGACAGUCGCUCGUUCCUGCCGUCCAAACGCAGGAGUCUGCUGUGAAUGUGAGGGGAAAGAAGGCAGUUGAAGUCUAUAUACAAGGUAAGGCUUAAACAUCUCAUAUCUGCGCAACACAAGUUUUGUUCUAGGAAAAGCAAACGAUGAAUGUCUAUUGUUUUCUUCUCAGAUUGGACAGUGCAGCAUUGUUACUUGCGACAUGGUCAUCAUGGUAUCUUAGAUUAGGUACGUUUAUGUAAGCGCAGCCGUCAAAAAGCUCUGAUCGCACGUAUAAAUGUCUCAAUAAAGUCAAGAAGCUCAGUCACUGUCUCCAGGAUCGGGGUGUCUACAGAGUCCAAAGUAGCACAGCAACUUUCAACUGAUGAGCGUUUUUCUACAACUUGUUCUAUUUUCUUUGAAACGUAGAGACAGUACUUUUCCUUUCUAUACAUUGUUUCUAUAAGAAAGGGGAGCUUCUCAAAAGUGUUUGAGUUACAGUUUAGUGUAAAAGAGCAAAAACACACAAUGUCUCUGUCCCUCUCUAGCCACGAGAGGGGAGGGCAGUUUGCUCUCAGCGCUAUCACGAGCUUUGUUGGCAUCACUUUCUCCUGAAAGCUCUGCGUCUGUGCAGUGGCGUCAACGCUCGAUCAACUGGCUCUUCUGAUCGGCUUGAACUCUUGCAAAGGAAAAUAAAUAACUUUUUUUUUUUUUUUUUUAGAUUUUUGUUUACUUAACU